GGUUAAGCGACUAAGCGUACACGGUGGAUGCCCUGGCAGUCAGAGGCGAUGAAGGACGUGCUAAUCUGCGAUAAGCGUCGGUAAGGUGAUAUGAACCGUUAUAACCGGCGAUUUCCGAAUGGGGAAACCCAGUGUGUUUCGACACACUAUCAUUAACUGAAUCCAUAGGUUAAUGAGGCGAACCGGGGGAACUGAAACAUCUAAGUACCCCGAGGAAAAGAAAUCAACCGAGAUUCCCCCAGUAGCGGCGAGCGAACGGGGAGCAGCCCAGAGCCUGAAUCAGUGUGUGUGUUAGUGGAAGCGUCUGGAAAGGCGCGCGAUACAGGGUGACAGCCCCGUACACAAAAAUGCACAUACUGUGAGCUCGAUGAGUAGGGCGGGACACGUGGUAUCCUGUCUGAAUAUGGGGGGACCAUCCUCCAAGGCUAAAUACUCCUGACUGACCGAUAGUGAACCAGUACCGUGAGGGAAAGGCGAAAAGAACCCCGGCGAGGGGAGUGAAAAAGAACCUGAAACCGUGUACGUACAAGCAGUGGGAGCACGCUUCGGCGUGUGACUGCGUACCUUUUGUAUAAUGGGUCAGCGACUUAUAUUCUGUAGCAAGGUUAACCGAAUAGGGGAGCCGAAGGGAAACCGAGUCUUAACUGGGCGUUAAGUUGCAGGGUAUAGACCCGAAACCCGGUGAUCUAGCCAUGGGCAGGUUGAAGGUUGGGUAACACUAACUGGAGGACCGAACCGACUAAUGUUGAAAAAUUAGCGGAUGACUUGUGGCUGGGGGUGAAAGGCCAAUCAAACCGGGAGAUAGCUGGUUCUCCCCGAAAGCUAUUUAGGUAGCGCCUCGUGAA
rnacentral:rRNA from 1 species